UAGCGUACUCACAAGGAAGCGGAAGGCUGUGCUCCAGUCACCUUUCAUAUAAGCGAAUAGUUAAUUAUUCUGUUCAAUGUAGAACAGCUUUUACAGGAGGGACUGAGAAUGCCCCUUCUAUCCUUCUAUUCUUACCAUGGAUAAGUCUUAGCUGUUGAAUGAGCCCUGACAAUGUCUGUGGAUGGAAUUUCUCGUGACGUGGGACCAAUAUGGAACCAGGAAUGUGGUCUGCACUUGCUGGCUGUCUGUUCACUCCUGUCCCACUAAAAGGGUUAUAUGGCUAUGCAGACUGAAACUUCUUCCAGAUGAAGAAACAACUGGAGACGUAUUGCUAUGAAAUAUCCUAAUGUGAAGGUACCUUCAGGUGGUGAAUCAUCCCUUCCAUCCAAGAAACUUAUUUUGGGAGAAUGAGUCAUUCUUCAGAAAUGCCUGCCUGCUUCCAGCGACAAUAGAGGCGGGUAAACUUAGGCUGGGGGCCUGUCACAUCUAUAAAGUAUGGUCAGAUUAAGCUCAUUCUUUUCUUCUCUUAUCUGAUGUGACUUGUUUAAUAGCAUG